UGUAAUAUUCCAAAAUUUUUAAUAAAUAAAAAUUCCGUAAUAUUAGCUUUUCUUUAAAUUCUUGUCUUAACUUAUUAAAUUCCGAUUAAUUAGUUAAAGACCGUUUAAAAUCAAAUCGAGUUUUCAAAAUUUAAAAAAAUAUAUAUUCUUUGAUAAUCGAGAUUACUUAUUCACUAAGAAAGACCAUGAUUAGCGUCGAAAUGAUUUUGUGACGUUACGAUUAAAUUCUUAGAAUUUUUCGAAAAAUCGAAAACCAGACGAUCGAUCACCGCGAGACUUGUUUCGGCGUAUACCCGUACCAAUUCCUACACUGACCCACACUAGAAUAUUUUUCCUCCUCCUCUCCCCCUCUCUGCCAUCUCUCACCCGAGCACACCCCUCUCUCUCUUUUCUUCUCCUUUCCAGCCUAUUGCCCUGCAAAAGAAAAAAAAAAACCUAGCUGGCAACAGCUAUCUCCAGCUGCCACCAGCUAGCUCCAGCCAUCCACCACCACCUCUGCCAUCUCUCUCCUCUCCUCUCCAAACCUCUAUAAAUACCACUCUUCCCCUCUCCAUCCGAACCACAACAAACUCAACACUCUCUCACCCUUUUGUGUGUCCAUAAACCAGUAGAGAAAUUAGAAGAGAGACCGAGUUCCGGCCAUGGCCGUUUAGAGAGAGAGACCGAGAAAUAAAAGUGGGUUUUUCCACUUGCACCACCUCUUAAUCCGAAUUACCACUUCCAAACAUCCAUAACCACCUCAAGCAACUCAGGACCCUCCUCCAAUACCCCAGAGCCGAGCCGAUCAGCCGUGCUCCGGUCGUUUUCUCCGGCGAACCGAAAAUUUCAAAAAUUCGUUUAAAACUUGUUUUGAUCAAACCGAAGGUAUGUACCUCUUCUCCUACUCUCCCUAAGUAUAAUAGAGUGGUUUUGAUGAGUUAAAAGGGCUUCAAAUGAGCACGAACAAAAAAAAAAAAAAAACAGAAAGCUUACUGUUCGUUUUCUGCCAGAUUCACCGUUCUGAUAUUAUUUCUGGUCCCGACUAUCUAUUUGAUAUUAUUUAUGUAGACGAUGACUCUUUAGAUAUUUAUUUUACAACCUUUGUGAUAUUAUUAUUAUGAAAAACUACUGAUUUGAUAUUAUUUUACGACGGCGUAAUAUCAGUUUAGUAUAAAACGUGAUAAUUAUAUCACUUUGAUUUAUCUAAUAGAUUAAGUGGAUAAUUAGUAAUAUUUUUGUAAAAAAAAGAAAAGGGAUUUGGAUUAUAGGUAUGCUCAAAUUCCUCUUACUAAUUGAUAAAUACAAAUAAUAUGUAAAAAAAAAAUAUUUUAAAUUAAUACUUUUAUUUAAAUUUAAAAAAAAAAAAGAAAUUAGUAGAUAAAAAGUAUUUAUAAUAUUAGUUUAAUAUUAUUAGAAGUAAUAACCAUCCUUGUGAUAAUUAUUGUAAAAAAAAAAUAUUUAUUUUAAACUAUCUAGUAAUAUGUGGAUUAUUUUAUAAAAUCGUAAUAAUUAUUAAUUUGUCAUUAAAGAUUAAAAUCGUAAUAAUUAUUAAUUUGUUAUUAAAGAUUAAAAUAGUAAUAAUUAUUAAUUUGUGAUUAUAGAUAAUAAAAUUGUGGAAACGAAUUUCAUGGAUUUCAAUAAAGUUGUUAUUGCCUUAUUGUUACUACGUGAACGUAGAAAUUGGACAAUAGGUACCCCGGGUGGUAUUCAUACGUUGGAAUAAAUUGAUUAGACGUUAAAUCCCUAAGGAAAGUGAAAUUAUCGUUUAUAGUCACAGUUGUGACGUUACGGUCAGGAGAUAACCAGAGUGGCCGAGGACCGUGGGUUUCCUGAAAGAAUGGUCAUCGGUAUCGGCACUUGUGGUUUAAGACCGGUGGAUUAUCAUCUUGCGAACCCUGAAUAUGGCACUGUUGGAUUUAUCUUCCGGAUAUUCCGGGGAUGGAUUUAUUGGAUGAAACCGGAGUAUGGGUAUCAUUUCUCGCGGUUGGUUGGUUAUCAUUCGCUCCUUGUGAUGGUACAGCCGAGUUCGACCCGACAUGUAGUUUGGUCUUAUUCGUCUGGGACCCCAGGCUGGGCAAGCAAGGGGAGGGUAAAUCGGCAGAGUCGCCAUAGUUCAGAGGUUGUUUGGGAGGAUUAUUUCUCAUGGUAGAGAAAUCUAGAAAUCACCUAAGAACAAGAUAAUUCAUAAUAUGCUCCUAAUUGCUGUAACUUUAUUAUUCAUGCUCAUUAUUAUAUUAAUGCUUGUAUGUACCUCUUCUCCUACUCUCCCUAAGUAUAAUAGAGUGGUUUUGAUGAGUUAAAAGGGCUUCAAAUGAGCACGAACAAAAAAAAAAAAAAAACAGAAAGCUUACUGUUCGUUUUCUGCCAGAUUCACCGUUCUGAUAUUAUUUCUGGUCCCGACUAUCUAUUUGAUAUUAUUUAUGUAGACGAUGACUCUUUAGAUAUUUAUUUUACAACCUUUGUGAUAUUAUUAUUAUGAAAAACUACUGAUUUGAUAUUAUUUUACGACGGCGUAAUAUCAGUUUAGUAUAAAACGUGAUAAUUAUAUCACUUUGAUUUAUCUAAUAGAUUAAGUGGAUAAUUAGUAAUAUUUUUGUAAAAAAAAGAAAAGGGAUUUGGAUUAUAGGUAUGCUCAAAUUCCUCUUACUAAUUGAUAAAUACAAAUAAUAUGUAAAAAAAAAAUAUUUUAAAUUAAUACUUUUAUUUAAAUUUAAAAAAAAAAAAGAAAUUAGUAGAUAAAAAGUAUUUAUAAUAUUAGUUUAAUAUUAUUAGAAGUAAUAACCAUCCUUGUGAUAAUUAUUGUAAAAAAAAAAUAUUUAUUUUAAACUAUCUAGUAAUAUGUGGAUUAUUUUAUAAAAUCGUAAUAAUUAUUAAUUUGUCAUUAAAGAUUAAAAUCGUAAUAAUUAUUAAUUUGUUAUUAAAGAUUAAAAUAGUAAUAAUUAUUAAUUUGUGAUUAUAGAUAAUAAAAUUGUGGAAACGAAUUUCAUGGAUUUCAAUAAAGUUGUUAUUGCCUUAUUGUUACUACGUGAACGUAGAAAUUGGACAAUAGGUACCCCGGGUGGUAUUCAUACGUUGGAAUAAAUUGAUUAGACGUUAAAUCCCUAAGGAAAGUGAAAUUAUCGUUUAUAGUCACAGUUGUGACGUUACGGUCAGGAGAUAACCAGAGUGGCCGAGGACCGUGGGUUUCCUGAAAGAAUGGUCAUCGGUAUCGGCACUUGUGGUUUAAGACCGGUGGAUUAUCAUCUUGCGAACCCUGAAUAUGGCACUGUUGGAUUUAUCUUCCGGAUAUUCCGGGGAUGGAUUUAUUGGAUGAAACCGGAGUAUGGGUAUCAUUUCUCGCGGUUGGUUGGUUAUCAUUCGCUCCUUGUGAUGGUACAGCCGAGUUCGACCCGACAUGUAGUUUGGUCUUAUUCGUCUGGGACCCCAGGCUGGGCAAGCAAGGGGAGGGUAAAUCGGCAGAGUCGCCAUAGUUCAGAGGUUGUUUGGGAGGAUUAUUUCUCAUGGUAGAGAAAUCUAGAAAUCACCUAAGAACAAGAUAAUUCAUAAUAUGCUCCUAAUUGCUGUAACUUUAUUAUUCAUGCUCAUUAUUAUAUUAAUGCUUGUAUGUUAUGGGUUAAUGGGUUUAGAGGUAUCUACUGGGUGAUUUUUCACUCACGGAUACAUUCGUAUCCUGGUAAAUCGGUUGCUUCGGCGAUCAAUUUGCCAGAAGCUGCAGGUAUCGAUGGCAUAGAAGAUCAGCCUUGCGAGCCAGAUCCGUACUAUUCAGGAGAGAUACCAGGGGCAGAGACUGAGCAAGAUUAUGCUUGGAAUCCAUAUCAGAACUAGAGUCGCUCUGAGUUAUUGCUCUGUGACGUCAUGUCACCCAAAGGCCUCCGUACAUGUGGGGUAGAGCAUAUUAAUGUCAACCUUAAGCUGUAAUAAGGAGAUAUUGUCCCGUAUUUUGUAAUAAAAAGAAUAUUAUUUAUGCUAAGUAUAAUAUAUUAAUGCUUCCGAAAUUCCUUGGAAAA